AGUGAACGCUGGCGGUAGGCCUAACACAUGCAAGUCGAACGGCAGCAUAGUAAGAGCUUGCUCUUACGGGUGGCGAGUGGCGGACGGGUGAGGAAUACAUCGGAAUCUACUUUUUCGCGGGGGAUAACGUAGGGUAACUUACGCUAAUACCGCAUACGACCUACGGGUGAAAGCAGGGGCUCUUCGGACUUUGCGCGAUUGAAUGAGCCGAUGUCGGAUUAGCUAGUUGGCGGGGUAAAGGCCAACCAAGGCGACGAUCCGUAGCUGGUCUGAGAGGAUGAUCAGCCACACUGGAACUGAGACACGGUCCAGACUCCUACGGGAGGCAGCAGUGGGGAAUAUUGGACAAUGGGCGAAAGCCUGAUCCAGCCAUGCCGCGUGGGGGAAGAAGGCCUUCGGGUUGUAAAGCCCUUUUGUUGGGAAAGAAAAGCAGCAGGUUAAUACCCCGCUGUUCUGACGGUACCCAAAGAAUAAGCACCGGCUAACUUCGUG
rnacentral:rRNA from 1 species